GAUGAACGCUGGCGGCGUGCCUCAAACAUGCAAGUCGAGCGGGGCUAUGUAAUAUCGCAAGGUAGAACAUAGCCUAGCGGCGAACGGGUGAGUAACACGUGGGUAACCUGCCUGGAAGACAGGGAUAACGAUUCGAAAGGGUCGCUAAUACCUGAUAAUAUCCUUUCAUCGCAUGGUGAUAGGAAGAAAGGGGAAACCCGCUUUCAGAUGGGCCCGCGUCCCAUCAGCUAGUUGGUAAGGUAAAGGCUUACCAAGGCGACGACGGGUAGCCGGUCUGAGAGGAUGUACGGCCACACUGGGACUGAGAUACGGCCCAGACUCCUACGGGAGGCAGCAGUUGGGAAUCUUAGGCAAUGGACGAAAGUCUGACCUAGCGACGCCGCGUGAGGGAAGAAGGCCUUCGGGUUGUAAACCUCUGUCAUGGGGAAGAAGUAAGUGAGGUACCCCAAGAGGAAGCCCCUGCUAACUACGUG
rnacentral:rRNA from 1 species